AUGGAAGCUUCUCCAGCUCUGGUGAUUGUGCUAGUCUUCACGCUUGGAGGAUGCAAUGGACAGUUGGUGACCCAGACCGAAGGCCAAGUGACACUGGCUGAAGGAGCUUCCCUGAUUGUGAAGUGUUCCUACAAAAUCACAUGGUUCCCUGCCCUUUUCUGGUAUGUCCAGUAUCCUGGGAAAGGUCUACAGCUCCUCCUGAAAGCCACGAAAGCCAAUGAGAAGGGAAGCAACAGAGGUUUUGAAGCCUUGUACAAUAAAGACAACAGCUCCUUCCACUUGGAGAAAUCGUCAGUGCAAGAGUCCGACUCGGCCGUGUACUACUGUGCUCUGAGAGACACAGUGACAGGGACUGCAGGGGGAGCUGAACACAAACUCUGA